ACCCAGUGAUGAUCCCAAGGCGAAUGCGAGCUCUCUGAAUCAGGGGCUGGGCUCUCCUGCACACACACUGGCCGGUAAUCUUGGCAGGGCAGAGGAGGUUUGCUGCUCUGCUGUAAGGGCCGGCCUACAUUAAACCCAGUCCUGCUCCUAAUGCCUUCUCGCAAAGACACGCGCAAAAGGACCGAGGGUGUGACUUACUGUGUGUGUGUGUGUGUGCGUGUGCAGGUUGAAACUCUGUUCUCGGUGGAAUUCACUGAGCUAUGAGCUGCUUUUUUGGUAAUCUGAGGGUG